rnacentral:lncRNA from 1 species
UUUGUUUGUUUGUUAAUUGUUUGUUAAUUAAUGCCGGUAUGGCUGGCCCUGGGGUGGAAUGCAGGACUCUGUCCAGGGCUGCUGCUGCCUGUCCUUCCCAGCUCUAAACUGCAGAGCACAGAGCUGUACCCUGGAGAGGAACAAACCUGGCAGGAGCUUCAAGGUGAGAGACCACGGAAAACCUGCAGGAUGUGGGUUGGAAAGAAGGGUGGCCUGUGUGGUGACUUUUUAAUAACUGCGUGAAUAUUUACUUUAGCAUGAAUUCUUUCUUUGGACUCACAGGACUCCAGUUAGAAACCUGGUGUUGAGGAUGAUGAGGAGGAUUUUCAGUUGCUACUGGAAAUAGAGAGUUCUGUUAGCACAGCUGCUCCAGGCAGGGUGUUUGUCCUUACAGGAUUUCAGGUUGGUUUGGGAGUUUGAAUAUGAAUUGAGAGUAAGGUGUCAAAAGCAGGAAGCCCUUCUGGGAGUUUAUUGAAUA